CUAAUCAUCCUUAGUUAAAUUGAAGUGGGAGUGGUGAAUUAAGCCAUAAACUGCUACAAAUUUAAAUUUUACCCAGAUGAUGAAUGAUAUCAAAAUUCGAACUAUGCCAAUUUUGAUAAUUAGCAAAAUAGUCAACGGAUGGCAUAGCCAUUCAUAUAGAUUGAGGUUCUUCCCAGGAAAUGAGAGAAACUUAUUCUACCAAUAAGGAAAACCUCUGUGAGAUGCAGGACAUGGGCCUCUGAGAAAAGUCACUGGCUCCUCUCUAGGGAGACCCUGAGAUACAAGAGGAGCCUCAGGGAAUCAGCUCUUCUGCCCUAGGGACACUGCAGUUCCUGGAUGGAUUGUCCUCACGGCCAUUCCAUCCAUCCUACCAAGGCCUUUGCAAGUGGGAUCUGGGGUCCAGGGCAUGUGCCUUGAUCCUGAUGUGCUGUUCAUGGAUCAGGGGUUCAGAGCAAAUAGACCAGCCCCAAGACUGACCAUUGUCCCAGCCUGGAGAAACAAGGAACUUGUGUCCAGCGAGACGUAGGCAGUGUCAUGAACCCCAUUUUCAAGCUCUGCGACCAGGGCUCGGCUAUUCUACCCUGAGCACAAAGACUCAGCCCCUUGGGGAGGGGGAGAGGCUGGUUUGUAGAGCAUGUACGCCUGCCCGCUGACCCUCCCCUGCUUCCUUCUGCAGCACAUCCAUCUCUCUCUCCAGUCAAAAGAGACCCAGGAGAGAGCCAAGGCCGUACCGACCAGCGCUGCCCUGCUCCAAUUUGCCACCUCCCUGCCUGGAUUUGACAUAAGUGACCUCUGACCGCAGCAUCCUGCAGAGUCAGGGCUUGAGUGAAGUUCCUCAUCCCCUGGCUAAUUGGUCCCCCCUGUUCCGUAAGGGACUGCAUUCCAUAGGCCACUGGCUGGCAGGGCUGUGCCUGGCCUCAUGGCCCUUGUUAUUCUGGAGCAGCGAGGCAGCGAGUGCUCAUAGAGAGCCCUUGCCCUGGUCCCUUUACUCCAAGCUCCCUUGGGGGCAGAGAGGAAGAGGGCUCUUCCUCCUCUCACCCAGCGCCUCCUACAGAGGGGUGGGAGCAGAGCUCAGGUCCAGGGGUGCUGGGGAGCUGAAGGGAGAAUGUUGAUGGAUUCCCCUCUUCUCCUCCUUCCACCAGACCUCCUCCGAUUUCUCCAAGGCAGGCGAAUUUGUGCUGCAGCUGGGUCUCUAUAUAUCUCACCCAGACAAUGAUAUCAACCGGCAAGCUUGGGGUGGGAUAUAUUGGCCGCAGAGGUUCCUGCUUCAGAAGAGGGGUAAGAAACCCAGCUGGGCAAUGGGACCCCAUGGAAACGAGCCUCUCGGAGACUAGCUCCAGUUGGCCAUUGGGACGCCUCUAGAACUAAGGCCUCUCUGCUUAGAUCCACUGUAGCGGGGAAGAGGAACGCCAAUAGAAAUAAGGCCCCUCCUUUGAGACUUCCUCUGCUGGGUAAUGGGAGCCUACAGAAAGACACUCCCUCUUCUGAGACUGACCCCAGCUUAGAUGGUGACUCUUUCUCUCCCCCUCUCUCUGAAUUAGGGAGACGAGUGUGAAAGUGCCAGGGAAAUUGGCUGCUUUAUCUCAGAGCCCAGCUCUGUCCCCCAGCCCAGGGAAAUCAGCCCACCCCCGUACAGGGCAGCCAGUUCAUGAGAGGACAGGAACGGAGGUAUUGAGACACAUGGAGGGAAAGAGCCCAUCAUGAGGACAGGGGCAGGAGCAGAGACCACAGGAGACGGACACAAAGCUUUGCAUGUCUCUGGGGGAG